UUGCCCGGGCUAGAAUGCAGUCUAAAUAUGGAAGCCCAUGGAGGAGAGGCACCAACAGGUCUAAAGGACUCCAGUGACACAUUUUGGCUUCUGCACAGUUUUUUUUCCAGCCUUGACCCUGCACUUGAUGGACCAGCUGGCACCACCCAAAUCAAUAAACUGGCUCAUUUGAACUUGCAGUCCCCACCCAGAAACUGACUCAGCGUAAGAAGACAGCUUCGGCUCCGUAUGAUUUCAUCUCUGACCAAUCAGCACCCCUGGCUCACUGGCUUCCCCACGACCCACCAAGUUAUCCUUAAAAACUCUGCUUCCUGAAUGCUCGAGGAGACUGAUAUUUGUAAUAAUAAAACUCUGGUCUCAGGC